rnacentral:rRNA from 1 species
GAGUUUGAUCCUGGCUCAGGAUGAACGCUGGCGGCGUGCCUAACACAUGCAAGUCGAACGGGGGCAGAUUGAAACCUAGUGAUAUCUGCCCGAGUGGCGGACGGGUGAGUAACGCGUGGACAACCUGCCGCAUGCAGGGGGAUACCGGCUGGAAACAGCCGCUAAUACCGCAUAUGCGCACGGCGCCGCAUGGCGCCGCGCGGAAAGGGAGCGAUUCCGGCAUGCGAUGGGUCCGCGUCCGAUUAGCUGGUUGGCGGGGCAGCGGCCCACCAAGGCGACGAUCGGUAGCCGGCCCGAGAGGGCGGACGGCCACAUUGGGACUGAGACACGGCCCAGACUCCUACGGGAGGCAGCAGUGGGGGAUAUUGCACAAUGGGGGGAACCCUGAUGCAGCGACGCCGCGUGGGUGAAGGAGUAUUUCGGUAUGUAAAGCCCUAUCGGCAGGGAAGAAGCAAGACGGUACCUGACUAAGAAGCCCCGGCUAACUACGUGCCAGCAGCCGCGGUAAUACGUAGGGGGCGAGCGUUAUCCGGAUUCACUGGGUGUAAAGGGAGCGUAGACGGCCAUGCAAGCCAGGGGUGAAAGCCCGGGGCCCAACCCCGGGACUGCCCUUGGAACUGCAUGGCUGGAGUGCGGGAGGGGCAGGCGGAAUU